AGAGUUUGAUCCUGGCUCAGAUUGAACGCUGGCGGCAGGCCUAACACAUGCAAGUCGAGCGGAUGAAAGGAGCUUGCUCCUGGAUUCAGCGGCGGACGGGUGAGUAACGCCUAGGAAUCUGCCUGGUAGUGGGGGACAACGUUUCGAAAGGAACGCUAAUACCGCAUACGUCCUACGGGAGAAAGCAGGGGACCUUCGGGCCUUGCGCUAUCAGAUGAGCCUAGGUCGGAUUAGCUAGUUGGUGAGGUAAUGGCUCACCAAGGCGACGAUCCGUAACUGGUCUGAGAGGAUGAUCAGUCACACUGGAACUGAGACACGGUCCAGACUCCUACGGGAGGCAGCAGUGGGGAAUAUUGGACAAUGGGCG
rnacentral:rRNA from 1 species